ensembl:lncRNA
GCAAAAGCUGCAUAAGGUUGUUUUUCUGAAAAAUAACAGCAGCUGUACAGAUUUUGGAACUUCAUGUGGGGAGGGGGGAUCCAGCCUCACCGCAGAUUUUAAAUGUAGGUCACAUGAACGUGAAAGAAAGAGACAGGAAUUCACCAGGUGCCAAGACAAUCUCUGACUGUCAGCUUAUGGACCACUGAUAAAAAUGGACUUUUCAGA